rnacentral:rRNA from 1 species
UACGAAGGGGGCUAGCGUUGUUCGGAGUUACUGGGCGUAAAGGGCGCGUAGGCGGCGCAUCAAGUCAGGCGUGAAAGCCCUGGGCUCAACCCGGGAAUUGCGCUUGAGACUGGUGUGCUUGAGUACGGGAGAGGAUAGUGGAAUUCCCAGUGUAGAGGUGAAAUUCGUAGAUAUUGGGAAGAACACCGGUGGCGAAGGCGGCUCUCUGGACCGUAACUGACGCUGAGGCGCGAAAGCGUGGGGAGCAAACAGG